AUAAAACUAGCAAUUGCUUCCAAUCACAUAUGUUCGCAUAGACAAGAUCAUUUGAUUACCCAGUAGAACAUUGAUCACCCGUCAUGCAUACAUGGACUACCAUGUUACCACCGUAUUGGAUCGCUUCACCAUGUUAGUGUCACAUAGACAACCAUAUCACGCCGUUGCAUCAUACUUUUCAAUUCUUGAAACUUUUAGGGAUUUUCAACUUCUUGCGACGACAAGUACUUCUGAAGUGCCCCUCUAAAACGUUCAAUCAAGAGUUGUGUUUAAUUAUGAGUGAAGGAAGUGAAAUGGUUUAUAAGCAAGUCUAUCUUUGGGCUCACCUAUGCAAGUUUUAAUUUUGACCUACACAUAAUAGAAUUAGAUAUAAGCAUUUUUUAGUUAUGAAUGAUAUGAACAAAAAAUCAAUUGUGACAAACAUCCAUAAAAAUGAUUGGCGCUUUGUAACUUGGCCAUCCAUUCAUGAUCCCCAACCAGAAAUUUCUGGGCUUCGCAAGAACCUCCAAGUCUGGCAGAAAACUAUAUUUCACAUUUAAUAAACCAGAAAAUCGUUAAAAACACAAGAUUUGGCUUCUAUUGAGAUGGUGACAAUUGCUUGAUGAUUACAGAUUUUUGAGAUUACACGAAAUUUUGGAGAUUCCUAAGGCCUAUCAUUAAACAAAGAUAUCAUGUCCAAACACGAAACAACAUAGUAUAACAUUUAUUCUUCGUUAGAAAUAAAAAUUUAGUUAAAAAUAAACUUUCAAGCUUAGCCAAACAUAUAUCAAUGAAAUGUAGACAGAACAUACUAUUGGGGAACAAGCAAUUUUCUCUAGAAACUUCAUAUGCACACUCCAAACAACUUACAACCCUCAAGUCCAAGUUCAUAGUUUAAUUACGUAAUCACUGAAUAUAUUUUUUCACAAAGGAAUAAGAUAUUAGAUCAAACUUAUUGGAUUUUGUUUCUUUCAGUCGGACGAACUUGCUACUCGAGAUUUGCAUCGGGGGAAGCUUGCUUCAUAAUAGUUUGGCUAGAAUUUUUUCUUGCAUGAGUAGGAUCCUUUCCAUUGG
rnacentral:lncRNA from 1 species